CCCGCACAAGCGGUGGAUUAUGUGGAUUAAUUCGAUGCAACGCGAAAACCUUACCUACCCUUGACAUGCUAGGAACUUGCCAGAGAUGGCUUGGUGCCCGAAAGGGAACCUAGACACAGGUGCUGCAUGGCUGUCGUCAGCUCGUGUCGUGAGAUGUUGGGUUAAGUCCCGCAACGAGCGCAACCCUUGUCAUUAAUUGCCAUCAUUCAGUUGGGCACUUUAAUGAGGCUGCCGGUGACAAACCGGAGGAAGGUGGGGAUGACGUCAAGUCCUCAUGGCCCUUAUGGGUAGGGCUUCACACGUAAUACAAUGGUCGGUACAGAGGGUUGCCAACCCGCGAGGGGGAGCCAAUCCCAGAAAACCGAUCGUAGUCCGGAUUGCAGUCUGCAACUCGACUGCAUGAAGUCGGAAUCGCUAGUAAUCGCGGAUCAGCAUGUCGCGGUGAAUACGUUCCCGGGCCUU
rnacentral:rRNA from 1 species